rnacentral:rRNA from 1 species
GUACCGCAAACCGACACAGGUAGGCGAGGAGAGAAUCCUAAGGUGUGCGAGAGAACUCUCGUUAAGGAACUCGGCAAAAUGACCCCGUAACUUCGGGAGAAGGGGUGCUUUUUAGGGUGAAUAGCCCGGAAAAGCCGCAGUGAAUAGGCCCAGGCGACUGUUUAGCAAAAACACAGGUCUCUGCGAAGCCGCAAGGCGAAGUAUAGGGGCUGACACCUGCCCGGUGCUGGAAGGUUAAGGGGAGAGGUUAGCGCA